CGGGUGGCAGCAGUGGGGAAUAUUGCACAAUGGAGGGAACUCUGAUGCAGCGACGCCGCGUGAACGAUGAAGGCUUUCGAGUCGUAAAGUUCUUUUAUAUGGGAAGAUAAUGACGGUACCAUAAGAAAAAGCCCCGGCUAACUACGUGCCAGCAGCCGCGGUAAUACGUAGGGGGCUAGCGUUGUCCGGAAUCACUGGGCGUAAAGGGUUCGCAGGCGGAAAUGCAAGUCAGAUGUAAAAGGCAGUAGCUUAACUACUGUAAGCAUUUGAAACUGCAUAUCUUGAGAAGAGUAGAGGUAAGUGGAAUUUUUAGUGUAGCGGUGAAAUGCGUAGAUAUUAAAAAGAAUACCGGUGGCGAAGGCGACUUACUGGGCUCAUUCUGACGCUGAGGAACGAAAGCGUGGGUAGCAAACAGGAUUAGAUACCCGGGU
rnacentral:rRNA from 1 species